AAGGCUAUAGUCUAUUUCAUGACAUGUAAGUUGCAUUUACAAAGAGUUUAUUCUAAAACUAGCUUUA
rnacentral:tRNA from 1 species